ACCUGGGAGGGUGAUCGGCCACAUUGGAACUGAGACACGGUCCAAACUCCUACGGGAGGCAGCAGUGGGGAAUAUUGCACAAUGGGCGAAAGCCUGAUGCAGCAACGCCGCGUGAGUGAUGAAGGCCGUCGGGUCGUAAAACUCUGUCCUCAAGGAAGAUAAUGACGGUACUUGAGGAGGAAGCCCCGGCUAACUACGUGCCAGCAGCCGCGGUAAUACGUAGGGGGCUAGCGUUAUCCGGAUUUACUGGGCGUAAAGGGUGCG
rnacentral:rRNA from 1 species